UACGUAAGGGGCAAGCGUUGUCCGGAAUUACUGGGCGUAAAGCGCACGUAGGCGGCUUUGUAAGUUAGAGGUGAAAGCCCGGGGCUCAACUCCGGAAUUGCCUUUAAGACUGCAUCGCUAGUAUUGUGAGAGGUAAGUGGAAUUCCGAGUGUAGAGGUGAAAUUCGUAGAUAUUCGGAAGAACACCAGUGGCGAAGGCGGCUCACUGGACUGGUAUUGACGCUGAGGUGCGAAAGCGUGGGGAGCAAACAGGG
rnacentral:rRNA from 1 species